rnacentral:ribozyme from 2 species
UCUUUAAUGCAACUAUUAUUGUUUUGUAUUAUAAUAAUAUCGGUGGCAAGUCCGAAAAGAUGCAGAGCCAAAGA